GCCAGUUUGGUGGAUAUGACCCUCGUUUUGUAACCGAGUGGGUUCGGGUUAGAAUCCCGAGUAAGGCA